UGGGAGUCUAGAGGAAGCCAGAGAACCCAAUGGAAACCCAAACAAGCAUGAGAAGAUGCAAAAGUCCACACAGGUAGUAACAUGUCCUCAAGAUCAAACCAUGGAGCUGUGAGGUUUAAACCUUCAUGCCACUUAAUAAGCAAGCUGAAUAUUUCAGUACCACGGAAAGCACCUUUGCAAUGGACCUUGAGUGAAGCAGCAAAUUUCCCAAUUUAGCAAUAAGUCUGGUGAAAAAAUCAACAACAACCAGCAACAACAAUCACACCUGGGCCUUAAAAAGCAAACGUCUUACAUUUUAGCAAGCUCUUCAGGCCUCUCUAAGUCAAUAAUGGUGUCGUAGCUGUUGGACUGAUUCAUGCGCUGGACAUCUUCACAUGUUUGAUCAGGCUCAGCAAGUGGAGCUGUGUAUGUCACGUCAGCCAUCGCUAACCUCCU